GAUGAACGCUGGCGGCGUGCCUAAUACAUGCAAGUCGAGCGAACGGAUAAGGAGCUUGCUCCUUUGAAGUUAGCGGCGGACGGGUGAGUAACACGUGGGUAACCUACCUAUAAGACUGGAAUAACUUCGGGAAACCGGAGCUAAUGCCGGAUAACAUUUGGAACCGCAUGGUUCUAAAGUAAAAAAUGGUUUUGCUAUCACUUAUAGAUGGACCCGCGCCGUAUUAGCUAGUUGGUAAGGUAACGGCUUACCAAGGCAACGAUACGUAGCCGACCUGAGAGGGUGAUCGGCCACACUGGAACUGAGACACGGUCCAGACUCCUACGGGAGGCAGCAGUAGGGAAUCUUCCGCAAUGGACGAAAGUCUGACGGAGCAACGCCGCGUGAGUGAUGAAGGUUUUCGGAUCGUAAAACUCUGUUAUUAGGGAAGAACAAAUGUGUAAGUAACUGUGCACAUCUUGACGGU
rnacentral:rRNA from 1 species